GGUAGAAUUUUUGGUCAUAAUUUAGAAAUAGAAAAUAAUGGACAAUAUAAAAUACCUAGAAAGGAUAGAAUAUGUAAACAGUGUCUCUUGUAGGUCAACGAAAACACCUAUUCCUUGAUUGUAAAAUUAACAAAACAUCUUUGAGAUAAUCUAUAUGAAAAUUAUUUACCUUCUCAUAAUAAUGUCUCUUACCCAAAAACAAAAAGUAAAAGAAAUGCUUAACCUCUAAAAC
rnacentral:lncRNA from 1 species